rnacentral:lncRNA from 1 species
GUUGAGACACUUGACAUGGACUUAGGGAUAGGUGGACUUUCGAGUGUUUGUUAACCCUAGUUGACAGGAUAUCCUCAGUUGGCGAGGAUUGGAUCAUACUCACAUAGUCUGUUUUGAGCUUGUGGUGGUCGCUCCACACAAGCAGUGCACUCCGGAGUUGUCACACGAGCGGGGUAGCUCAUCGGGUGGGAUACGAGCGGGGUAGCUCCUCACCCAUUGGACUGGGACGUGAGUUGGGGUGAAGGGCGGGGUAGCCUUUCCCCUAUGAGAUUGAGCGGGGCAGCUCAUUAUCUAUGAGAUUAGAGCGGGGUAGCUCUUCAUCUAUGACCUUUGAGAUGCGAGACGGGUGAGAUAAGAGCGGGGUAGCUCCUCACCUAUGAGAUUUGAGAUAUCAGUCGGGGCGAAGAGCGGGGUAGCUCUUUACCUCUUCACCUACUAGAUUGUGGUGUGAGUACCUAUGAGAUUUGAGAUCUUAGGCGGGGUAGCCUAGUGGAUUGGGUAAUAACAUGAAUAACAUAAGUGGAUUUGCAUUCAUCCCCUGAUUAAACAUAGUAUAUGUUAGUGGAUUGCAUAACUAUGUUGUAUUUGUAUUCAUUACAUUGUUAAAGCAUAUUAUCAUGAUAGUAGGCUUAUUGCUAGACGAUAUUUCAUGCAUUGCUUGCAUUUGAUGGCACAAUAGAUCAUAGUUGCAGUUCAAUAUCUAUCUAUCUCUCUAUCUAUCUAUUUGUGCCAGCUUAGACCUAGUGGGAAGAUCGGCGGAGUCGGCGGCCGAACCCACUGGGAACUAUAUUUUUAUAGUUCUCACCCCGUGUGGUUUUGGGGUACAGGUACACACGUGAGCGGACCGGCAGGUGAUCGCGGUAAGGGCGUAGCGCCCUAGCUAGCUAGUAGAGCUUUCCUAUUGUACUAGAGCACCCUCGUGUGCAUGGUUAUAGAUGACAUGAUGUAUUUGGGAUAGCUAGCAUUAUAUAUAUGUGAGAUGAUUAUGUAUUCAUUUUGGAAGCUUAAAUGUAAUCAAGUUGUAUUAAAGGUUGAAUGAAUGUCAAAUGUGAUGUAAUAGCCAGUUUAUAUCUCUCUUCUAUUUCACUUGUAUAUUUAUUACUCGUAAUGCUUGCUCUUGGUUGUUCAGCACUGUUUGUGCUCUCUCUAUUGUUGUUUGAUCAUGUAUGUAUUCAAGUUGAUUUCCUGGAAACUUGUUGUACACCAUCGCGUUGUUUAGCCUUGGGCGGACAGGGGAGGUGCUGUUCGUCCGGCGUCUGUCUGACGCGCCCGAACUGGACCAAAUUGGUAGCGGUCUCGGGGCGUGACAUUAUAGGUCUUCGGUUAUGUGCUACGGUGCUCGGAAUCCAACUUCAUAAUUUUCGGACGUCGCCUCGGCCCUCCAAGCGGAAACGAAGCUCCGAACGUCCGUUUUCCCUAUAACUUCGCGUAGGCUCGACGAAUCAUCGAACCGACUUCGCCAACGCGUUCGUGUACUUAGCAAUUAGGUUUGGUUAAUUUAGAUCAAACCCCAACACAUAGCAAAACCUCCAUUUGAACCCUAGAUGCUCACUAUUGCAAAAAUCCACUAUUUGGACUCUAGAUUUAAGCAAUUAACAUCUAUUUAGUAUCCUAGGAUUCAUCUAAAUCCAUUUAUAGGGUAUACAAACCGUUCUCUAGCAAUCUACCAUUAUUGGACAACAAGCUUACCUCAAUAAGCUAGCUUCAACCCAAGGAAGAAGAUGGAGAAGGUGAAGCUUCACUUCCUUUGCUUCUUCUCCACCAAUCCCUCUCCUCCUUUCCUUCCUUGAUGAGAGAGAAAGAGGGUUUAGAGAGAGAGAGCUAGAGAGAGAGCUAGGGUUGAGGGAAAGUAAGAAAGAGAGAGAGCCAUCGCCUCUCUUUAUCUCCCACUCAUGCAACAAGUGGAACUAACCCCCUCAACUUUUAGCUUCACCAAUAGCCCGAAAUGGGCAUUUUUCGCUCUCGGGAUCUGGACCUUGGAGUCAGGGUCCGGACCCCGUAGGUCCCGAAAAACUGCAAAUUUCAGCUUUCGCUGAUUUCGCUCCGUUUUGGUCCGUUUUCACUCCGUGGGUCUCCGAUUCACUUCUAAUCGAACCGAGACUAUCCAAACAUGUUUUCGAGCGUAAUUACAUCAUCUUUUUAUCCACGCUAAUGCCGGAUUUAGCUCAUGGCCCAACAUAGCCUUUCGGGUUUCGUUUUCGCGCCUACGCACUCCGGAAACGCCUUAAUGCUUUCGAACUUCACCGGAACCAUUCCAAUGGCUCUCCAACCAAAUGUACGCCGUAACUUCAUAAUUUUAGAAGUCCGGUACCUUACAAAUCUAAUCUUUAAUCUUAAGAACGAUAAAAAAUCAGGUUCACGUAGUCAUAACGAGAAUAAUCAUAAGUGAAUAUGAGAAAAUAUCUAACUCCUUGCUAGGCCCUCACAUUCAUUGGCCCACAAAUGUCUGAAUAAAUCAAAUCUAAAGCAUGGGCAGUAUACGGCUUUACCAAAAGGCUUCUACAUGCCUUUCCCGCCAGACAAGAUUAGUACACAGCUAGAUCAAUCUUGACAACAGACUCAAACAGGCCUACUCUAGCCAGUCGAUUCAUUUGAUCUUGACCUUUAUGGCCUAAUUUGUCAUCCUAUUUGACGAAUACAACACACGAAUUAUCAUCAGAAGAAGUAGUAACUAAUGCAAGUGGAUUGUUCAUUAAAUCCAAUCUAAAGAAGUCAUCAAUAAAUGUACUAUGUCUAAAGAAAGUACUAUUAAACAAACUAGUAAGGUGGUCACUAUCAAAAAGAAAUGAAUAUACUAAACUCAACAAAACUGAAACUAAUACUAGAUUACACUGAAUUCCAAGAGCGCAUAGCAUGUCUUGAAGAAGUAAAGUGUGGCCAUUGUGCAACUUGAGCUAGUACUGUGAGGUACCGGACUUCUAAAACUAUGAAGUUGCGGUGUACAUUUAAAUGGUUCCGGUGAGGUUGCGGUGUAAUGUAAUAUACCGGAUUUAGAUAUAGAAAUAAGUGUAAAUAAAAAUAGUGUUAUGAGAUGGGCUAAGGUAUAAUUGUGCAAAUGAGAGGGGCUAAGGUGUAAUGGUGCAAGUAAUUGAGCUUACUUGGAGGGCAAGUUUUCUAUGUACCUAUGUAAAUGAGUUUACUUGUUGGGCAAGUUUCCUAUGUAAUUGAGUGAAUCCUUGCCUUUUUCCCCAAACCGUAGGAGAGAGAGAGGAUGGAUUUUCUCUCUUUUUCUCUUUGACUUUAUGACCUCUCUUUCUCUUUGGUUCUCUUUACCAAAGAGAGGAUUAGAGAAGAAAGAAAAUUGAGGCAAGCUUGAAGAAAAUUGAAGUAGCUUGGAGUUGAAGCUUCAUCUUUAUCUUCUCCUUCCUUGGUCUAAGUGGAAGCUUGUGUUGAGGUAAGCUUCAUGAACCUCUAAUGGUGGAUUGCUAGGGAAUAAUAUAUAUAUCCUAGAAAUGGAUUUAGAGGACUCCCUAGAUGCUAAGUAAAAGCUAUUUGCUUGAAUUAAAGGCUAAUAUGGCUAUUCUUGCAAUAGUAGCAUAUUAGGGCUUCAAAAUGGGAUUUUUGUAAAUGAGGGGUUUUGAUCUAAAUUGAGUGGUCAGAAACCUAAUUGCUAUGUCUCCGAAUGCGUAGGAAGCGACGGUUUGUCGAUUCGUCGAGCCGGUGAGAAGUUAUUAAAGAAAUAGACGUUUAGGCUUCGUAUCCGCCUGGAGGGCCAAGGCGGCGUCGGAAAAUCGUGGAAACGGAUUAGAAGCAUCGUGACAAGAAACCGAAGACCUUUAAUUUCCGGAUCGCGGAUCGGAGGUCAUUUGGUGGUCGUGCGUGGUUUGGGUCGAGCCGAGCGGCGUGCGCCGCGGGAGGCCGAUUGCGAGUGGCGACGAGCAAUCGGAACGCGAUAAAAGGUGGGGGAGUGCCAUCCCGAAGUCAUCGGGCUUCUUCCUAUGUCUUAGUACUUAUCCAUUCACAUGUAGCAUAUUGUAUACCGAUACCUUGCAUUAUAGGAUGACAAUAUAUGCAUUCCUAAUCCUUAUAUGAUGUUUAUGAUCAAUAUAGUAUUAUGAUAUGGAUAUAUGAUGUGAUGGACAUAAGGAUUAUGAGGUGACAUUGGUAAACCUAUGAUGCUAAAUGAAAGAAGAACCUAGUGUUGUGUUUAAAGACAUAGUUUACAAGUGGCAUUGAACUCAUUGUGCUAAAAACACAUAUGACUUGAGCUAGUAAUGGAUUGGUUGUUGCACUAGAAACUCUAGUAACAUUGAUCAAGUUGCAUAUUGGGAUAUUGCAUUAUAGGGUACUAGUUGGCAAUUGUUACAUGUCAUGGCAUGCUAGUGAGAGUGUAGUGUUACUUGAUUAAUACUUGUACCUAGUAUGCAUGAGAUUGGGACUUAGUGUGGUGAAACCCUAUAAGGGCAUGAUUAAUGUGGAUUAAACUUUGUUAAGUGCAUUAAUCGAUUAAGUUGCAUAUUGUAUUUAUUGCAUUUAGAUGCUAAAUGAUUGUGGUCAUUGCUCAUAUUUGCAUGCUAGUAGCUAUACAUCUUGAUGAUUGAUUCAUGAUCUAGUAUGCAUGAUGAUUAUAUGAUGAAAACCUUAUGAUAAAGACCUAGACCCUAUGUGAGAUAAUUAAUGCUUAUGUUGCUAAAGAACUAGUAUGAUGUAACUGGUGUUGAAAUGAGUCUAAAUGACGAGUGGCAUCUAGUUUAGAAAACUAUGAUGAGUGGCAUAUGAUUGUUGAUAACCUUGACAUGAGAACCUUAGUGUAGUUGAAACACUAUGAGAUUGGGUACAAGAACACCUUGAUUCCAUGAUGAGAUUACCCUUAGAGGGUAGGUUGAUGUUGUUCGUGAGUUGAUCAUGCUCACAUAGCCUGUCUGCGCUUGGUUUGGGGUCGCUCCCCACAAGCUGUGCACUCCGGAGGUUGGUCACUCGAGGGACAGUCUGUGUGCUGUCUGGACGGUCUGUGUGCUGUCCGCAGGCGGUCUCGGGAUGUAGUUCUGUGAGACUUUUCCCCUAUGAGACUUACACGUGAGAUAUGCUUGUGAACCCGUGUUCACUUUGAGAUUGGGUUACCUAUUGAGCCAUACCCAUUGUUGUUGUUCAUGAUAGCUUGCUUCCAUAGUUGUUGUUGUUGAUCAUAGUUGCCUUUGGCUUACCGGCUGAUUGGGUGGUCUAAUGAAUAGCCCUAUUGAUGAGCCUAGUGGUAUGGUAGUUAACCUUCACUAGACUUACCUUGAUAGCGAAAAUAGUCGCUUGGUAGUUGCUUAGACGGGAUUUUGCCUAUAUACAGUGAGUGGUAUACUAUCCUGUCGCGCUAUGAGAUAUUGAGUGGAUAAAUUCCUGUACCUAGUUUUGGAUUUGAGUCGGCAAAGUGCGGGUAGCCUUUGCCUAGGACCUAGAGAUGUGAGUCGGGCGAGAGGCGGGGUAGCCUCUUUGCCUGGGACUCACGAGAUUGGGUCAGACCUUUGAGAUAUGAGUCGAGUGAGACAAGAAUGAGGUAGCUUUUCACCUACUAGAUUUGAGAUCUUAGGCAAAGUAGCCUAGCGGAUUGGGUAAUAACAUGAAUACCAUAAGAGUAUAGCAUUCAUACCAUGAUUAGACAUAGUGCAUUGCAUAACUAUGUUAUAGUUGUAUUCAUUUCACUGUUGAGGCAUAUUAGCGUGUUAGUAGAUUGUUGCUAGAUGAUGUUCCAUGCAUGCUUUGCAUUUGAUGGCAUAGUAGAUAUAGUAGC